GAUGAACGCUGGCGGCGUGCCUAAUACAUGCAAGUCGAGCGAACAGACGAGGAGCUUGCUCCUCUGACGUUAGCGGCGGACGGGUGAGUAACACGUGGAUAACCUACCUAUAAGACUGGGAUAACUUCGGGAAGCCGGAGCUAAUACCGGAUAAUAUAUUGAACCGCAUGGUUCAAUAGUGAAAGACGGUUUUGCUGUCACUUAUAGAUGGAUCUGCGCCGCAUUAGCUAGUUGGUAAGGUAACGGCUUACCAAGGCGACGAUGCGUAGCCGACCUGAGAGGGUGAUCGGCCACACUGGAACUGAGACACGGUCCAGACUCCUACGGGAGGCAGCAGUAGGGAAUCUUCCGCAAUGGGCGAAAGCCUGACGGAGCAACGCCGCGUGAGUGAUGAAGGUCUUCGGAUCGUAAAACUCUGUUAUUAGGGAAGAACAAAUGUGUAAGUAACUAUGCACGUCUUGACGGUACCUAAUCAGAAAGCCACGGCUAACUACGUG
rnacentral:rRNA from 1 species